GCACGAAUGGCGUAAUGAUGGCCAGGCUGUCUCCACCCGAGACUCAGUGAAAUUGAACUCGCUGUGAAGAUGCAGUGUACCCGCGGCAAGACGGAAAGACCCCGUGAACCUUUACUAUAGCUUGACACUGAACAUUGAGCCUUGAUGUGUAGGAUAGGUGGGAGGCUUUGAAGUGUGGACGCCAGUCUGCAUGGAGCCGACCUUGAAAUACCACCCUUUAAUGUUUGAUGUUCUAACGUGGACCCGUUACCCGGGUUGCGGACAGUGUCUGGUGGGUAGUUUGACUGGGGCGGUCUCCUCCUAAAGAGUAACGGAGGAGCACGAAGGUUGGCUAAUCCUGGUCGGACAUCAGGAGGUUAGUGCAAUGGCAUAAGCCAGCUUGACUGCGAGCGUGACGGCGCGAGCAGGUGCGAAAGCAGGUCAUAGUGAUCCGGUGGUUCUGAAUGGAAGGGCCAUCGCUCAACGGAUAAAAGGUACUCCGGGGAUAACAGGCUGAUACCGCCCAAGAGUUCAUAUCGACGGCGGUGUUUGGCACCUCGAUGUCGGCUCAUCACAUCCUGGGGCUGAAGUAGGUCCCAAGGGUAUGGCUGUUCGCCAUUUAAAGUGGUACGCGAGCUGGGUUUAGAACGUCGUGAGACAGUUCGGUCCCUAUCUGCCGUGGGCGCUGGAGAACUGAGGGGGGCUGCUCCUAGUACGAGAGGACCGGAGUGGACGCAUCACUGGUGUUCGGGUUGUCAUGCCAAUGGCACUGCCCGGUAGCUAAAUGCGGAAGAGAUAAGUGCUGAAAGCAUCUAAGCACGAAACUUGCCCCGAGAUGAGUUCUCCCUGAGACUUAAAGUCUCCUGAAGGAACGUUGAAGACGACGACGUUGAUAGGCCGGGUGUGUAAGCGCAGCGAUGCGUUGAGCUAACCGGUACUAAUGAACCGUGAGGCUUAACCUUACAACGCCGAAG
rnacentral:rRNA from 1 species